rnacentral:rRNA from 1 species
GACGAACGCUGGCGGCGUGCUUAACACAUGCAAGUCGAACGGAAAGGCCCUGCUUUUGUGGGGUGCUCGAGUGGCGAACGGGUGAGUAACACGUGAGUAACCUGCCCUUGACUUUGGGAUAACUUCAGGAAACUGGGGCUAAUACCGGAUAGGAGCUCCUGCUGCAUGGUGGGGGUUGGAAAGUUUCGGCGGUUGGGGAUGGACUCGCGGCUUAUCAGCUUGUUGGUGGGGUAGUGGCUUACCAAGGCUUUGACGGGUAGCCGGCCUGAGAGGGUGACCGGCCACAUUGGGACUAAGAAACGGCCCAGACUCCUACGGGAGGCAGCAGUGGGGAAUAUUGCACAAUGGGCGGAAGCCUGAUGCAGCAACGCCGCGUGCGGGAUGACGGCCUUCGAGUGGUAAACCGCUUUGGCCUGUGACGAGGAGUGAGUGACGGUAAUGGGUAAAGAAGCAACGGCUAACUACGUG